rnacentral:rRNA from 1 species
CCUACGGGCGGCAGCAGUGAGGAAUAUUGGUCAAUGGACGAGAGUCUGAACCAGCCAAGUAGCGUGAAGGAUGACUGCCCUAUGGGUUGUAAACUUCUUUUAUAUGGGAAUAAAAUGUUCCACGUGUGGGAUUUUGUAUGUACCAUAUGAAUAAGGAUCGGCUAACUCCGUGCCAGCAGCCGCGGUAAUACGGUGGAUCCGAGCGUUACCCGGAUUUAUUGGGUUUAAAGGGAGCGUAGGUGGAUUGUUAAGUCAGUUGUGAAAGUUUGCGGCUCAACCGUAAAAUUGCAGUUGUAACUGGCAGUCUAGAGUACGGUAGAGGUGGGCGGAAUUCGAGGUGUAGUGGUGAAAUGCUUAGAUAUCACGAAGAACUCCGAUUGCGAAGGCAGUUCACUGGACUGCAACUGACACUGAGGCUCGAAAGUGUGGGUAUCAAACAGGAUUAGAUACCCGGGUAGUC